AUCUGCACAAACCCUCCUCUGCUCUGUCGGUGUCCCCUGAAACUCUCUGGGCCAAUCAGAACGCUUCUAACAUGAACAAACACGAGACGGUUUUGGACUGACUUCAGCCCAAAUCAAACGGAACCUCCAGACCGCAAGAGAACGCACGUCCCAUGACAAAAUGAAUCAGGGAACCAUGCGUGAGAGACGGAGGGAGAAGAGGAUACAGCCCGGGAACAGAAGGGGAGAUCCGGGGGAGACGCACGGUGGAAACGGCUAUUCGUCCCACCAAAAACGGUUAGGUUAGGAGAUAUGACCUCUGUAGGAGGGGAGGAAUCCAUCUGUCUGACUCCACCUGUAGACAGCGCAUGGACAUCUUGAGUGCCCAGAGUGAGGGCAUGUCACAGAUGUCCACAGGACUAUGUACCGUCCCCCCUGCUCUUCUCCAUGUACACUUUGUUAAGAUGAUCACGUCUGAGACGACACCACCCUAAACACUGUGUUCAUCCCAUAGACUGUGUUUAAGUAAAUGGACAUAGCUAACAUGCCAGAUGCCUUUUCCAAAUAGGAAGUGACUAUGGCCACGCUUCUGACUCCAUUGGCUCACUUUCUUUUGAUAAACUGUCAAACCUCUGCAGCUGUAAGGCCUGUAACCCAUUCUCCAGGACCCUGGUGUUUUUAUUUAAUUAUUCUGCCCCUAAAUUAAGAUAUGAACAUUAAUAACAAACCAAUCUGCUGCCUGUUUCCUGAGUUUGCCCCUACUAGUGUUAGCCACAGGUUGACUGACAACCUCGUUGCUGAGCAUUCGUCCUCUGCCAAAGCGGUGGUGCGAGCAGGAGGGGGCGUGUACCUUCAACAGCCUUGAUCCUGAUUGGCUCAAUAACAACUGUGACUCUCUAACACCUGUCACUUUAUAGCACCUGUCACUCUGUAACACAUGUUAAACAAUUUACUGAACCAUAGUUAAUCACCUUCCAUUGAUAGUUUUAGUUUUAGUUUUUUGCACUUUUGUUCUGUUUGUUCUUUUUUUAUGUUUAAACUUGCCUUAAUAAUAAGGGAGAUGUUUACUCAGAGGUUUUCUGGCUUUGGAAAUCAACAAUAUGAAAAAUGCUGAGCAGCUAAACGGCUAAAACCAUAAAGCAUGUUAAUUUAUUUAGGAUUUAAAUAGUAAAUCAUACAUUUGGCAAUAUUAUUAUUUCCAAUAUUUCUUGGAUUAAUUCAGGUGCUUUAUGAUUUUGGAUGACCUUAACCUCUGCUGUGACUUCAUACUUUCAAAUCGAAAUGUUAC